AGUUAUCAUCAUAAGGGGUUUAAAUUAUUCAUAUAAUUUUCAAGAAUUGAAAGUUGCAGAUGAUUGAUUGACACUACCUAGGUAUGCCACAUUUUCAUGAGGAUGGAUUGCAAGGACAUUUUUGGGUUUUAUCCAAAUGAUUUCUAACAGGCAGUUGAAGCCUGGGAGCAGCUUUGAGAAGCUGAGUGAGUUUGUCAGGAUCUGUAGACUGGAAGCAAAUGACUUCAGAGAUUGUAGAGACACCGAACAAGAAAGCCAUUAGGCCCAUGCUUAAGCAGGGUGCCUUCAACUGUUAGGGGAGCUAGAAGGUUGCCAAGCCAGACCCUGAUAAAUAUCAUACCACUUGGAGAAUGAGAAGAAUAUUGAGGAGAAUCAGUGUAUUGCUGAGUGCUGUGACACACCUUGGUGUGUCCUAGGAGAAGUGAAUAGACACACAAAAUUCUGUUUAGUGUAGGUCAGACUUACUUAAAGAGCAACUUUCCAUGAAAUGUAAUGCGUUCAUGCUUGCUUUGUUUAGUUCUUAUAUGGUACAACUUUUUUAAAUGUGAAAUCUUCUGAUGUACUGUUUUCAGUUAAUAACUGGGAGUUUGAUGUUCUUUAUAAUUUACUCUUCUCCUUCAUAAUUUAUUUUUGAAACGUAAAAAUAAAGAAAUUUAGUGUUGGAGGUUUUGUACUUGCUAAUUUGGCUUUACGUUGUCUCCAAUCUAAAGUCAUGGUCAAUUAUAUGUUCAAUGCAGACUCCAGAAGUUGUAGCCAUCGAUCUUUGUGACCCAGCUAACAAAAGGAAAGAAAAUUACUGAUUCUGCCAAGCAACAAUAAUUUAAAAUCAGCCCUAAUGUUGCUUUAUGGUAAAGAAAAAUAACAAUAUAUUAAGCUACUUUGUUUUUUAUUCUUCCUUUCCCCAGAUGAUCCAGACAACGAAAACUCUGUUAGAAAAUGGUGAUGGAGUGUGUGAAAAAUUAAUGCAGUGUCAAAGAGCAGCAAUGGAAUUCCACGAAAAUCUGAACAAUGUUGGAGUCAAAGAAGGCCUUAAAGGAAGAAAACUGCAUAAAGCUGUUGAGAAUUUUACUUGGAACAUCACUAUUCUUAAGGGACAAGCUGAUCUAUUGAAACAUGCUAAAAUUGAAGCAUUGGACAACCUGAAGCAAAUCCAUUAUGCUGCAGUAUCUUGUGGUUUGAACAAACCAGGCACUGGAAAUACAGAACCAGCCAAGACAAGACGAAGCCUAGAGGCAAUACCUGAAAAAGAAAGUGUUGAAACUGGAGCUGGAGAUCAAGUUGCUCACUUUCACCAGGAUACAACCACUCAAAAAUCUCUCAAAGCUGCCAAAUGAAUACAUCCAAUAUAGAACAUUUGGAUUGCACUUCAAAGCCUUCUCGGUUGGUUGGUUUUAGUACUUUGUAAAUACUAAGGCACAAUUCUGAAGGCUCAGAAAAAUGUGACAAAUGGAGCUAUGAAUGUAACACUUCUCCAAGUGAAAGUAUACUACUAGCGGUGGAAGUAUACUGCUUCAAAGAAGUAGUGGACUUGCCAUUAAAUGUUUGUCUGCCAAAUUAAUAUGUAUAUAUGAUGUCACAAAGAAUUAGGUGAAAUGUAACUUUUUUUCUAGUAAUUUAUGCUGCCAUUUUACAUUCUUUUUGUAAAUGUUACAUUUCUCCAGAUACUUAAAAUUCAUUUCUUCAUUUGAUUGAAAAAUAGUUAUACAGAAGAAUAUGUAAAAUAUAUAUAAAUACAAUGAGGUGUGUGUUGUUAUGCUACCCAAACAUUGUAAAGCUUAUUGAGCCAUAAGUGGAAACAUGUAUUCUUGAUUGUGGUCACUGAAGCUUCAGUGCACUUUAUGAAGACCAUUAAUCAAGGGAAAGCUGGAAAAGUUUUGCUGUGAAAUCUGUUCCUUCAGCGAUAGUUGUUAAUGUCAAAAAAACCAUUUGAAGUCCUUGUACCCGCCUUCUGGUGACCAAAUAGGCAGCAGCUUUUAGCAGGUUGUUGUAUAUAGUUUCUAUUUUGUGAAGUGCAACUAGAAAAGUUAGGCUCAUUAAUUUCCACAAGGUAGGAUUUCUAUGCCAGUAACGUUGGUAAUACACAGGAUUGCCAGCCACCAUGAUCUUGUUUAAUGUAAUGAUUCAGUGGGAUGGAAGAGGGAAUUUUUUUUUACCUCCGUUUCUUUUCUAGCCCAUAAUCACCAACAACAGUACUGAGUCAAUAAAUUGUAAACAACAUUGCCAGUGUUGUUGACCUUGAACCAAUUAAACUGGUUGGUUUACAUUUUUUCUUAAACAAAGUCCAUUUGAAGCCCAUAAGAGUUCAUCGUCUAGUUUGAAAAACAGCAUAUGUUUAGCCACAGAUUUUUCUCAGAUUCCUGAUUUAUAUUUUGACUUAAUUGAAUCAUAAUUUGUGCUUAUUCUGUUGCUGAAUUUUAAAAGAACUUUUGCAAAAUCCACUGUUGUAAACCAUCCAGAAAUGAGCACAAGAGAGUGCAAGAACAUAACAUAGAUCCAAAAUAGACGCAGAACACAGUGAUCCUAAAAGCCUGAAUCAAAUAUUGUUUCAAAUCUUCUUUAGACUUUUUCAGAUCUUGCCCUCCUUGGCAUUCUAGGCAUUUGGUUUUACAAAUUCACUAACAUCUGUGUAAAGCAGUUAAAUGUAAAUGGUCUAUGUAACUCUCCUCUCUUCCGCCCCCAAGCUGCCAUAAGUUUUCUGCUCUAACCAAUUAUAGGCUCUUAAACCAUUUCUUGUAGUGAAAGGGAUAAUUUUUAUGUUCUUGCCCCUGUCAUUAAAAUUUGUCUUAACCUGAUAUAACACAGGGCAAAGAAUGUGGAAUUUAUUGUAAAUAUAGUUCUCUCUGUCCAAUCUUCAUGAAAGCAUUGGUAGGAAUUUUUUCCUUUAUAUUAAAGAGAAUGUAAAGAAAAUCUGCCCUGCAAUGUCAUAUGCUAGGUUUCAAUUUAGUUUCACUUCCUUGCUUGCUUCUAACUUCUGCAUAGUUUCGACAUGGUAUGGCAAACUGAAUUGUACACAAUUCCCUAGCAUGACAAUACCAGUGCCUUGUACACGCUCAUCACUUCAUGGGAAUCUCAACUUUAUCCAUCUAUACAUCCAUACCAAGAUCCAAUUAUAUUUUACAGCUGCACAGAUUGAAAUGUUCCAAUGAAUUAUUCCCCAAAACCCACAUCACUCUACUGUGUUGUUUCCAAGCUAUUUAGUUUUUGCUCCCAUUGUUUAUUUCCCUCUCUAAUUUUAUUAUCUUGUAGUUAUCCGCAUUAAAUGUAACUUGCCAUUUAUCAGCUCAUCUUCCCAAUUUAAGAAGGUAAUGUUAUAGUUACAAUGAAACAAAAUACUGCAGGUGCUAGACAUCUGAAAUAUCAAUAAGUGCUACAAAACUCAGCAGGUCUGAUAGUGUUUGUGUGGCGAGAAGCAGUUAAUAUUUCAAGUCAUACAUGAUAUUUUUCCUUCACUUACAAUGUAGGACACUUUUGCCUCUUAGCAAAUGAUCCCACUCUCUAGUAUCCACAAGUGAUUGUUUUUGGGUCCACACAGCUCCAUUCACAAGCUCUUAUUUGUUUUCUGUGGUUUAACAAUUUUCAGUCCACCUUAGAAGUUAGUGCAAUGUAUGAAUUCCUCCCUACAAUGACAGCAUCAGCAGCCUAAUUAGGUAUGUUUUAAGCCUUAAUAACUAAUAAUUAUCUUGGUAUAACACAGUAGCACAUUUAAAAAUAAAAGAAGAAGGAUUACAUUUGUGUUGAACCCAGGGAAGCACAAAGGAUCAGAGCGACCUUGAUGUGCAUGUCCCCAAGUCCAUUAAGGUAACAGGAUAGGUAAAUAAAGAUUAAGAAGGCCUAUAGGAUAUUUGCCCUUAUAGCGAGGCAUGGAGUUUAAGAACAGGGAGGUUGUGCUCGAACUGUAUAAAACAUUGGUCAGGACACGGCUACAGUCUUACGUGCACCUCUGGAAUCCACAUUAAAGGAGGUAUGUGAUUGCACUGGAGGAGAUGCAGAUCUGUAAAAAUGAUCACUGAAUGACCUAUCUAAUUCUGAGUGAUCACAUUGGAUCUCCCUCCUGAUUAGAGGGUGGUGAGCUUCCCCACUCCUUCUUACCCAGGAAGUCAGGCCUUUCUAAAGGAUUGAAUGUUUAACAUCCUGCAGUCUUAAUGCUGAAAGUAUCCUUAGGAAGGGCUGGAUGGGGAAAAUUAAAUCAGAAUUAUCAGGAUGUUGCCUGGGCUGGAGAGUUUCAGUUAUGAAGAGAGACUGGACCACCAUGGGUGGUUAGACUAAAGGAGAUUGAUAGGGAAUAUGAUUGAAAUGUAUGAAAUUAUGAACGGCAUAGACAGGAAGAAACUUUUCCCCUUGGUAGAAGGAUAAUGACCAGGAAGCAUAGAUUUAAGGUAUGAGGCAGAAGGUUUAGAGGAGAUGUGAGGAAAUUUUUUUUACCCAAAAGGUCUGGGAUUCUGGAAUUCACUGCUUGUGAGUGUGGCAGAGGCAGAAAUCCUCAUAACAUUUAAGAAGUAUUUAGAUGUGCACUUGCAAUCUCAAGGCAUACAAAGUUAUGGGCCAAGGGCUGGAAAAUGGGACUAGAAUAGUUAGAUGAUUGUUUUGACCAGCACAGGCUCAAUGGGUCAAAGGGCUUUUUUCUGUGCUGUACACCUAUAUGAUUGUGUGCAUUGAUAUAGGACCUUUGAUGAUCAUCCAAAGCAGUUUUCAGACAAUGAAGUGCUUUUGAGGUUUAGCCACUGUUGAAUUGUAGGGAAACUCAGCAAAUAAUUUAUACACAGUAGGUUAUCACAGACAACAGUGAGAUAUAUUGACCAGUAAAACGUUUUACUAAUGUCACAUGAUGUUAACUAGGGUAUCAGGUUUUAAUAUGGAACUUUUAUGUCCACUAGAGAGGCUAAACAUGAUCUCAGUUUAAAAUUCCAUUUGGAAGACAGUACCCCUGACUGUGCAGCAGUCCUUUAACAUGUAAUAUCUUGAGAAAAACUUGAUUUCUCAACCUCGAAGAUAAUCAAUCAAAUAAAUAAAUAUAGUUCCUCCAAACCUUGCUACUAUUUUGCCAUACCUAGUUGUAUUCACCUUUCUUGCACUCAUUACAAAAGUGUCACACGUGAGGAUUUUGUAUGUCAUUCAUAACUAGAGUUGACCACCAUUCCCCACCCCCCCCCAAAAAGUCUGUGUCUUCUUGUGCAUUUGUUUCAUUCUCUCCUGCCAUGUAGAAUGUGCUGCUGAUUCUGUAUCAGUAUUGAAAACAGAUUUUAAUUUUGAAUAAGCUUUGAGAUCUCAAAUUUUAAAAAAAAGUCAGAAAUUGACUUCAGUCCAAUGAAUCAAAUUAGAAUUGAAUCAUAAAAUCAUAGAAGUUUACAGUGCACAAGAAGGCCAUUCAACUUAUCGUGUCUGUACCAGCUCCCGAAAGAGCUACCCAGCUAGUCCCACACUCCAGCCCAACUCCCAUCUCUGAUAAUUUGAAUUGAGAAGGUCGGGCAUUCAUUCCUUGAAACUACCAUCAAACUUGUUUUCUUCAACUCAAUGCAUUUUGUUAACUGGACCACAAACAACUCCCUUGUUAAGGUUGCCUCUCAGUCACUCAGACAUGACUUUGUAAAAUAACCCUGCAGGAAGCUGAUUUGAUUCAUUCAAGGAAGAGGGAGUGUCAAACUUUUUAUAGAUUUGUAACAUGACUGGCUUUGAAAUUCAAUUACAACUUGACUGAAUCACCCAAGAAAAGAUAAUAAAUUGCUUUAUAUUGCAAAUUUUAAGUUUCAUUUAUUCUCUCUUAAGAUGCAACUGCAGCAUCCGUUCAAAAUUCUGCAUUAUAAUCACCUAGUCCAAACAUUGUGCUUUCACUAAGCCCUCAUUUGAAUAAAAGGCUUUUCUUGAGUUGCAAAAUAUAUCUUAUAAAAUACAACUAAGAGGAAUUCAAAUUGAUCAGUUUUAAUCAAGUACCCUAUCUUGACUGACUUUGAACAUAAUGGAGAAUAUUUUCAGUUCCUGAAAAGUAUGAAAGAAAGCUGCUAUGUAAAUAAACCACAUUACACAGGAAGACUUUUGCAGUUGGUCAGCACAUCAAGGUUUAUGAAACACAAAUCAUUCUGUGAGAGGACAAAUAAAUGAAGGCAUCCAGCCAAAGUUUAGGAUUGAUUUUAAGAUUGAUGAAACCUUGAAAACUAAAUUUGUUCACCCUUUGCAGACCCAAUGUUAUUUGUAUGUUGCAAAAAUCAAAUGUAUAUAUUCAUCACACGUAUACGCAAAAAAAAUGUAAAAAUUAGAAUUCUGGAUAUCGCCAAAAAAAGACCAUCAUGAUGACCAAUACUCUGAAUUUGAAAAACUGAGACAAUGUAAAUUGGUUUUGUUUUGCUACCAUGCAGAAAUAUUGCUGGUGUUUUCAAAGGCUUCAUUUUGGAAGGAAUGCUUGAUUUAGUCCUCUUCUACUAUUUGUGAUAUGAAGUCAAGAGCUUCCAUUUGUUCACCCCUCUCAGUAGCACUGAAUUUGUAACCAACAGAGCCGCUAAUGAUUUCUUACCAAAAGAUUAUUUCACUCGCGCUUUACUUACUCAUGGGAACAACUGGAUUGUAAAACCAAAUGCCAGAAUUUUGCUUAGAAAUGCAACAAUGUGAAAAAUGUGGGUUUUUUUUAUUAAAAAUAUUUUGAAUCCAACUGUUCUGUUUUAAUACAACAUUCAUAUAAAAUGAAAGAUCAUAUUUGUAAGAAUAAAAUGCUGUUUUCCCAAA